rnacentral:snRNA from 1 species
AGCUUUGUGCAGUGGCAGUAUCAUAGCCUGUGAGGUUGAACUGAGGCAUGAUCAUUGCUAGUUGAAUCUUUCCAGAUUUUAGCCUGAACAAAUAAACAGUACCAAACAGGCAUUUUUACAGCUUCAAUCAAUGUAGACUAUAACAUUUAGCAUAUUGGAACAUAUGUAAGACUUUGAGGU